UAUAUGUGUGUGUGUGUGUGUGUGUGUGUGUGUGUGUGAAUUAACAAACUAUCCUUAAUUGAAAAACAUAAACAAUAAGAAUACUUGAGUAAGUGGGGGCGGACGAAAAGCCUCCUCCAAGAGAGUAAUCACCAUCCGGAGCAUCUCGGCGCUCCAAGCAUCGAACUGCUCCUGAGGUAAUCCCGUACUCUCUGCAGAGGCCCCUGCUAUAAUAUCCUGAGCAAUCUGGUGAAGACGAGAACUGGAAGGCAACUGCUAACGCCGAAAGACCGGAUCGGUAUGGAACCUAUCCGACACGGCCCCUAUUAGCCGCCGGAAGAUAUCGUCAUCCAAGCCAGCGCCCGGACAUGUGCUCUCGGACGCUGGCGCUGGCUAGAGCCUAUAAAGAGAUACAAAUUCGAUUACUAAUAAUAAUUUAUAUAAUGUGAUAAAUUCGGAUAAUUUCGUGAAACAUAAAAAAAUAUUACCUCCAGGAAGUGUAUAUGCGGGUAUCCUCGGCAGACCCAACACUCGAUAUCUGCCGGUACUGCUAGCAGGGGGAUCCUGAGACGCGACCCAUAGUCUCAGCUCCUCAUCCCGAUCUAAAGCAAUAUCGGGAAGAGGGGUGGCGGAAUCUAACGGCUCAGAACCCCUCCUAUUAGUCUCCAGCUCAGCUAUACGCUCGUCCCGAAGCUUCUAAAAUUGGUCCUGUAAUGUAUUCCGUAUACGUAUGUUAAUUAUAUCAUUUUAUUUACGAUUGAAUAUUAUUAAAAGCUAAAUAGUAAGAUGAGUUUUACCCGUAUAGCUAAAGCUGCCUGAGACAAGGCACACUUGUCCUUAGGCGUGUGGGCUCGAUCCCAAAACUCUAGCAUGGUAGGAUCUUGGCUCAAAGUCCUCCCCAAUGCCUAAUAUAAACAUUCAUAAAACAGGUCUUAAGUAUUUGUGUGAGAACUUGACACAUAAAUAACUAAAUACAACGCACUUACCGUCUUCGCCUCCUCGAACGACUGAGAACCAGUGGUGUGUACUAUCCGGAGCUGACCACGGUUCUUCUUUGCCUGCUUGGACUUUUUCUUGAAGUCAUCAGCCUCCCAGUGCGCACACAUAGCCUCCCAGGCAAAAUCAGAGACUAUGCGGGGCUGAUGAUCUCUGAUGGUGGUCCCGGGCUGGUCCACAACUGCCCGGGCUACCUUCUAUCGCAUCUCAUACAGCCAUCCAGAGUAAUUCGCAGCGACGUGAUGCUCAAUCACAUCAUCGCCAGCUGACUGAGAGAUGCUUGGGUCAAAUCGAUAACCUAUAACAAAAGAUUAUUUAAAAUUAAGAAAAAUUGAUUUCAUUAUCCCAAUACAACUAUGUAGUGAUAAUAUGCUUAACUUAAGUGGAACUCCCACAAGACGGUCUGCAUAAAAGUGGCAUCGUACCGCACAUACUGACUGAACCACGUGCACCCUCUCGGGAGAUGGGUCAAACAAAUCGCAUGUAGGGUGUGCUUAGCCACCGGGUCUAGUAUACUACAGAAAAAGUAUCACAGUAUGUGUUAUGUGAAUUGUGUUUUGCAAUAACUGAUAGAAAUAGUACGAAUAUAUUAACACUUACUGCUGGGAAACGACAUCCACCGGUACUGUAAGUGGCACUGCCGGCGAACGACCAAAGAUACCGAGGUUCGUCCCUCGGUGUCGUCGACGAGGUGCAUCUGUAAUAAUUGUAUUUAACAUAGUACUUCAAUAAUCAUUGUAAUUAAUGCAGCUUGAGAUAUAUUUAAAUCCUAGUUAAGAUAACUUACUCGCGCCUGAAGAAGAGCCUCCAUCGUGGCUACCGUCUCCAGUACCGGAUCGCCCACCACCUCGGCGACCUCCACCGCUAUGUCUAGCCAUGAAUAUCCUACUGCAAUAACAAAAUUGGUAGAUUACGAAUAUGUAAGGUUUAACAAUAUGUGGUAAGUACUAAUAUGAAAGCUCAUUUUCAAUUACGCACGUCAUCAAACCCAUCAGAAUCAACGUGUAUAUCAUUCUCGGAUUCGGUAUCUUCCUCAUCCUCAGUUUCGAGAUCAGUUUCGUCAUCGUUAUCAUCCUCAACGACUACAUAAUCAUUCAUGUGUAUGUUGGCCUCGACAUCCUCAUCGUUAGGCACGUCAAUGACAUCAGUACUCACCACAUCUUUAGCAUGGAACACUACGGCCAAUGGGUUGCUCACAUCUUCUUGUAAUGCCUCAUCCAUACCAAACAUGUUAUCAGCAUUAAAUGAGCGUGUUUUAGUAGUGACUACUGUGUACCAGGGGCUUCAAGUAUUUACGACAUUAGGAGCGUAAUACACUUGAGUCACUUGACUUGCUAACACGUACAUGUCAUCAGACUUUAACACUGACUUGAUAUCCACGGUUGUGAUUCUAUUACGAUCAACUUUAACCCCCUUUUCAGUAUCAAACCAGCUACACUUAAAUGUAACUUUACCUUUUUGUUGUCGUGAUAAUUAAGCACAACUACAUCCUGUAAACGACCAUAGUAAUUGGACUCAGAAUCUUGGUAGCAGCUUCCUAACACCACAACCCCAGAAUUGACUGAUGUGAGUUCAUGCAAGUCAUCGACUCUAAAUCUGUACCCAUUCACGAUGCAACCGGGAAAAGAACUAACAACUUUGUAAGGUCCUUGGAUGACAUCUAUAAAGCACUCAGAAAUAUUCUCCGCUUCAACCCUUUUCUUAAACCACUGUUGGAAAUUAGCAUUAGUGAAUGUUUCCAAUUCUACUACAGUAAAAGUUGGGUUAGAAGCAUGCGCUUCCUCUUCGAAUGAACUGCGAUAUUAGUAAAAUGUCUUUAACAUAUAUAGAGAUGACUACACUUAUAAAUUGUACUAAGUAAGUGGUACUUAGUUUAUGAGAAUUGUUAUUUGGAAUCUAUAGAGAUUACUGUUCGACAUUCACUCCUACCUACUUAGUUUAUUUUGCCAAUGAUAAACUAAGUAAGUGGUACUUAGUUUAUGAGAAUUGUUAUUUGGAAUCUAUAGAGACUACUACUGUUCGACAUUCACUCCUAGAUACUUAAUUUAUUUUGCCAAUUAAUGAUAAACUAAGUAAGUGGUACUUAGUUUAUGAGAAUUAUUAUUUGGAAUCUACAGAGACUACGUAUUGUUCAACAUUCACUCCUACUUGUCAAACGGGCUUCUAAUUAAUUUAUCUUGUAUUAUAUUAUAUAGUUUUUAAAAAUUUUUUUACUAAAUUCGUUAUUAAAUAUAAUUUAAAUUAUUUUAAUUAAAUUAAAUAAAAUUAUAUUUUAUUCUAUUAUUUUUAUUUUAUUUUAUGUUUUAUUGGAUUGUAUUUUAUUUGUAUUAUAUUAUAUAUUUUAAAAUAUUUUUUAUUAAAUUUAAUUUAUUUAUUAAAUUAAAAUUUAUUUAUUUUUUCAUUAUAUUUUAUUAAAUUUAAAUUAUUAUAAUUUAUUAUUAUUAUUUUGUAUUUUAUUUUAUUUUAUCUUAUUAUUACUCAUAUUAUAUUAUUUUAUUUAAUGUAUUUUAUUUAUUUAUUAGAUAUAAUUUAAGUUAUUUCAUUAACGAACAAUUAUUUUAUUUUAAUUUAAUUAUUUUAUUUUAUUUCAUUUCAUUUUAUCUUAAAUUAUCUUAUCUUAUGUUAUUUAAUUUUAUUAUUUUAUGUUAUAUUAUCUUAAAUUAUUUUAUUUAUGUUUAUAUUAUUUAUAAUAUUAUUUUAUUUUAUUUAGUAGUACAAAACUAAGUAAAUAUUACUAUAAACUAGGUUAUUUUAGUAUUGGAAAUUAAUUAAGUAACAUAUUUAAAUAGUUACAUGGGCCCACAAAAUUUGCAAUUGAAGACUUCUGAUAGAAAUUCAGUCAGAAAUAUCAUGUAAUAAACUGUAAUUGCAUACAGAAAAACAAAUUAAAAUAUUUACCAGAUGCUAUACACUAAACAGAAGCUGCAACAUAAGCUGCAAUCCCAAUUUGCACAGCAGUUUGCAUACCAGUUAGGCAGAACACAAUUUCGGCAACCUAAUUUUCACAACAAUUAGGCAAUUAACACAAAUAAUAACCCUUAUAAUUUCAGCAGAACACAAAUAGAUAUAACCCAUUUCGGCAGAACACAAAUAAUAACCCUUAUAUUAACAAUUAACACUUAAGUCCCAAUUUCAGCAAUGAAUCCGAAAUAUAUAUAGUAGCAGUAAUUAUCAUCAAUAUAUAUAUAUAGUACCAAUUUUAGUGUAAUAUGCACAAUAUAGGGCAAGAAAUUAUACUUAAUUAUACAAAUAAACCAUUACUAACCUUAGGCCUUAGCUAGUUUGAAAACCGGUUAAAGGAGGAGAAGAAGAAAGCGGAGUACAACCCGGCCAGAACGCGAGUCGUCGACGUCGACUGCGUAAAGGAGGGUCGUUAGCAGUGGCGUUGUGUGGAAGGGUGGCCGGCAGUGGGGCUGAGUGCACAGAGUGGUGAAGAGAGAGAGAAAGAGAGAGGCGAACGUACGAUGGCAGGUGAAAAGGGGUGGCGGGGGACCGGCGGUGAUCGGAUGGGUGGGGUGGGGGGGAUGAGAGAGGGAAGGGGAGUACUAGGGGGGACCAGUGUGGGGGCGGGGAGGAUGAGAGAGGGAAGAAGAUCGACUGAGACUGAGAGAAUGAGAGAGGGUGGGGGCGGUGAGGAUGAGAUCGAGGAGGAGUGAGAGAGAUAAAUUAAACGAGCGUCUGAAAUGAAAAGGCAGAAGGUGAAAGGAUUUUAUUUUUAUCUUUGACGGAAUGUCCGUCGGACAUACGUCUCUCGAAAAUAGCUUAAGUUCGACGAAAAUUCCCUCGAAAUUAAUGUUUUUUCGUCGAAAUUACUUUUCGCAGUGGCGCCAAACUUGGCGCCAACUGGAGAGGACUAAGUUCGACUGAAUUCUGUCCUAAUUAAUGUAUUUCCGAGGGACUUAUAUCUGACACAUUAUUCUCUAGGACGUAAUCCUAUUUCGACCGAAUUUAAUCCGUCGAGGAUACGUCAGUCGGAAAUAGGCGGUUUUCUUGUAGUGGAAUAUGUAGCACCUAAAGUCUGGGUAAGCUAUAGGAUAAAUUAAACUGCUCAAGAUUAGCUUGAGAUCAAUUUAUAUGAAAUUGUUUUGGCUUCAUUUACCAACCUGAUAGAGCUGAGCACAAUCUUCUUUUAGCCAUUUAGGCUCAGAAAAAGUAAAAUCCAGCUUAAGUAAACAAGUGCUAAGCCUGUUAAAGCAAGUAAAAAGCUGUGUUAAUAUAGACAUGGAUCUUCUGUAAUUUAAUAUAAACGUGAAGUGGCCUUGCUAAGGGCCAAGAAACUUGAAUUUAUUACUAACUCUUUUUAACAGGAGCUACCACCUACCAAAAGAGUUAACAAGUUGAUGUAAUUUAUGAAAGAAGUUGUUGUAAUUGUUUGAGCUAGUGAACUGUCGUACACAUCAUUAAGAGAAGACAUGAAACCAAUUAUUAACAAGGAUUGAAAUUCUAUUAUACCUCUACAAAAAGAUCAUCCAUUCGUACACAUGAUUAUUGGCCCCUUCUAAUUUUAUGACUAAUUAGAUCUCAAAAAAAGAUCAGCAAUUUAUACCAAGUUGAUCUUGUGUCCUUCGAAAAACCCUUUCAUGAAAUACAUGUCCACGUAACAUAGUCUUGAUACUUAGAUCUUUAUUUCUCAGUUGAAACCUGGCUUGUGUAAUGAGGACCAAUUGAAAAGCAGGUCAACAUAACAUAUGAUUUAUUGGGGGCUCUAUAAAGAAAAGCACUGGACCAAUUCAAAUGUUGCUCAUACUCCCUAUUCUUUUUUGUAGGCGUAUAUUAAGAGAAAAGGGACUUGAAAAUCUAGAAAUCCAAGACCAUAGUUGAACCAAAGAGAUGAAAGUGAAUGAAACUACAUGAAAAUUAGUGCAAGCCUCUUGGGGAAUCCCUCCACAUUCGAUCCAAUUAAUCACAAAUAUUUCAAAAAGUUUCACUUCUAUAAGUUGGUAGAUCUCAGAAAAAGAGUAAGGCUUAUUUACAGGCUUGUUGUACUAAAGUUAAUCAUUCUAGUUCAUUACAAUAUCAAUAUGGUAGACUGGUAGUUAUAUGUCAUUAACAACACCAUAUAAUUUUUAUAUUAACAACCUCCUAUAAUUUUUAUUACUUAUUUUGAAAAAAAAUGAUUCUCAAUAAUUACUAUAAAUCUAGAACUAAGCUAACUCCAAAACUUUCAAGAUCAGAUACAUAAUGUUCAUCCCAUUAAUAUCCCCUACCACAGAAUUACCAAAAAUCAUCACAUUAUUAGCUGUAGACGGAAAAAUAUGAACAACCCAGAAUUAAAAAGAAUGAUAUCUUAACUGGGUAAAUUUCUAAUUCAAGUAUCAUGUCACAUACUUCACAAAUUCUACAGAUGGACAAUUACAGAGAAUAACCUUUAACUGGGUAAACUCUAAAAUUCAAUCGACGGUGUAAAAGAAAGAAACUUUUUUUACCUGCUUAGCCGCCUUGAUGAGAUCAGAGCUCAUGACCUUGGGUUGAUCGGAAAAAAUGGAGAUACUUGGCAUUUCUUUUCUAAUCUAGUGUUCCUUACAAAUAGUACAUCUUUCUCGAAUCACGGGAUGAUUUUUCUAUGGUUAACGACUAUGAUUCCACAAUUGAGGCCUGAUCCUUGUAAUCCGUGAAUCGAGACGUGCAAAUCUACUUCAGCGUUCCGAUACUUGUUCUACACUACGGG
rnacentral:lncRNA from 1 species